UGGGGAAUAUUGCACAAUGGGGGAAACCCUGAUGCAGCGACGCCGCGUGAACGAAGAAGGUAUUCGUAUCGUAAAGUUCUGUCCUAUGGGAAGAUAAUGACAGUACCAUAGAAGAAAGCUCCGGCUAAAUACGUGCCAGCAGCCGCGGUAAUACGUAUGGAGCGAGCGUUGUCCGGAAUUAUUGGGCGUAAAGGGUAUGCAGGCGGUUUAAUAAGUCGAAUGUUAAAGAUCGGGGCUCAACCCCGCAAAGCAUUGGAAACUGAUAAACUUGAGUAGUGGUGAGGAAAGUGGAAUUCCUAGUGUAGUGGUGAAAUACGUGGAUAUUAGGAGGAAUACCAGUAGCGAAGGCGACUUUCUGGACACAAACUGACGCUGAGGUACGAAAGCGUGGGGAGCAAACAGG
rnacentral:rRNA from 1 species